AACGAACGCUGGCGGCGCGCUUAAUACAUGCAAGUCGAACGAGAAGGUGUAGCAAUACACUUGUAAAGUGGCGAACGGGUGAGGAAUACAUGGGUAACCUACCCUCGAGUGGGGAACAACCAGCCGAAAGGUUGGCUAAUACCGCGUACGCUUCCGGGUCUUCGGAUUCGGAAGGAAAGUCAUACCGUGGGUAUCGCGCUCUUGGAUGGGCUCAUGUCCUAUCAGCUUGUUGGUGAGGAACGGCUCACCAAGGCUUCGACGGGUAGCUGGUCUGAGAGGACGAUCAGCCACACUGGCACUGCGACACGGGCCAGACUCCUACGGGAGGCAGCAGUAAGGAUAUUGCGCAAUGGGCGAAAGCCUGACGCAGCGACGCCGCGUGGGGGAUGAAGGUCUUCGGAUUUGUAAACCUUCUUUCAGCUCCGACGAAGCGAGAGUGACGGUAGGAGCAGAAGAAGCACCGGCCAACUACGU
rnacentral:rRNA from 1 species